GGCUGGGAAGCGCAAGAUAGGGAGAGGACUAAAGUGAGAAGAGUUUCUGAGUCAGAGGUGGGAUAGGACAGAGAAUACACAUCAGAAAUCACUUCAAAGGCCCCACAAUUUGAAAGGUACAGCUAGGCAGGACAGAAUCUGUGGACGGAAUCUACUAUUCCUGAAGAAUUGGGCUUGGAGAAGGACCUGGCUAGUCCAGGGCAGGGGCACAGUGCAGAGAUCAAAGGAGAGAUGGCCUGGUUUGUAGGGUGGGGGAAGAGAGUGGCUGAUGUGACAGGGGAGGAGUGAGGACUGAUAUCUCAAUCUGCAGUAUCUGGGGUGGGGCUUGGGAGCUGGGUCAGCAGGAUGGGGAAGGUGUAUCUAAAGAGAAAGACUGAUACCACGUACUGGAACCCCAACUGUCAGAGGGGAGGGGCAAAGGGGAGAAUCCCAGGCAUCCUGACAAACCAGCCCACCCACUCACAGGAAUAAGUGGGAGUGGAUAACCUAUUCCUAUAAGAAGAGUGGGACAAUUUGGUGAUAGCUAAAGGAACCAGAAAGAGUAUUGGCUUUGAAUAUAUGGGGUGCCUUGAGAAAAAAACUGGAUCCAGGGUACUAGAAGCAACCUGGAUUGGGUGGGAUGGUGGUGACUGAGAGGGUGGAGCAUGUUCUCCAGAGAACAGCUUUGAGAGGGAUUGAGGAAGGAUCUGCCCAGAAGCUGCAGAGAAGGCCCAGAGUCCCAGGGGCAGGGAAAUGUAGGAGUCCCGUGAUCCUUCUGGAGAGGAGUGAAGAUAAGUGGUGGAAGCAGAGAUUCCUGAGAGGCAGCCGACCUCUGGGGGUCUGUUGUGUGAGUGAGUGAAAAGGUAAGAGUGGAGAAUGGCUGGGAUAUGAGAAAUUGAGGAUAGACAUUAUUAUGGGUUGAAUUCUGUUUCUCCCAAAAAGACAUGUUAAAGUCUAUUACCUCACAUUGUGACUGUAUUUGGAAAUAGAGUCUUUACAGGGGUAAUCAAGUUAAAAUGAGGUCACUAGGGUGGGCCUUCGUCCAAUAUGACUGGCGUCCUUAUAAAAAAGGGAAGUUUGGAUCCAGAGACAAAUGCAUAUAGAGGAAAUAUAAUGUGAAGACACAGGAAGAAUACCAUCUACAGGCCAAGAUACAUCAGAGACUACCAGAAGCUAGGAGAGAGACGGAUUGUCACAGCCCACAGAAGGAACCAAAAACUGCCAACACCUUCACUUCCACUCCCAGAACUAUGAGACAAUAAAUUUGUUGUUUAAGCCACUCAAUGUGUGAUGCUUUGUUACAGCAUCCCUAGGACUAAUUAUAGACAUCAAAAAGGGCUUGAUUAUUUUUGAGGGAGGAAAGGAAGCAAACCUAAAAUAGACUCUUACUCACUUUCCUCCCUUCUGCCCUCCUUACCUGUCAGUCUGUGAAGCAUGUUUUUGACCACUGGGUAAUCAUCAGGGAGAUUGUCCUCUGAGUUAGAUGACUUGGGUGUUGGGGCAUCAAAUCUGGACAAAUGAGGAAGAAAGGUCAGGAAACCAGUAGACACCCUCUGCCCUCUGUUGCCCCCUUCGCUACCCUACUUAAAUCUCUGGAGCAGGAAGGGGUAAGGCACAUCC